rnacentral:rRNA from 1 species
CCUACGGGUGGCAGCAGUGGGGAAUAUUGGGCAAUGGGCGCAAGCCUGACCCAGCAACGCCGCGUGAAGGAAGAAGGCUUUCGGGUUGUAAACUUCUUUUCUCAGGGACGAAGCAAGUGACGGUACCUGAGGAAUAAGCCACGGCUAACUACGUGCCAGCAGCCGCGGUAAUACGGAAGGUCCGGGCGUUAUCCGGAUUUAUUGGGUUUAAAGGGAGCGUAGGCCGGCUUUUAAGUCAACUGUGAAAGUCCGCGGCUCAACCGUGGAAUUGCAGUUGAAACUGGAGGCCUUGAGUGCACACAGGGAUGCCGGAAUUCAUGGUGUAGCGGUGAAAUGCUUAGAUAUCAUGAAGAACUCCGAUCGCGAAGGCAAGUGUCCGGGGUGCAACUGACGCUGAGGCUCGAAAGUGCGGGUAUCAAACAGGAUUAGAUACCCUUGUAGUC